rnacentral:sRNA from 1 species
AUGUACGACGCGUACACCCCCGCUUCCUCCACAUCGUCCGCACCCGCCUGACAGCCACGCGCUAAGUCUUGUCAGCC